rnacentral:rRNA from 1 species
AAGAUGGUAAGGGCAGGCGGCGGAUGCCUUGGCACAGGAAGCCGACGAAGGACGCGGCAAGCUGCGAUAAUCCGCGGUGAGGGGCACACGCCCUUUGACCCGCGGGUCUCCGAAUGGGAAAACCCGGCGCGCCGUCGAGGCGCGUCGCCCUCCCCCCGAACACAUAGGGGGGAGGGGGGCAACCCGGGGAACUGAAACAUCUAAGUACCCGGAGGAAGAGAAAUCAAUCGAGAUUCCCCCAGUAGUGGCGAGCGAACGGGGAAGAGGCCAAACCGGCCCGAGCGAAAGCCGGGCCGGGGUCGUGGGGCCGUCUACAGUGCGGUUACAAAGCGACGCGCGAGCGGAACCGGAUGGGAAGCCGGGCCGAAGGGGGUUAGAGCCCCGUACGCGAAGCGCGACGCCCGCCUGACGGUGCCCGAGUACCGCCGGACACGUGAAACCCGGUGGGAAGCAGGGGGGUCCACCCUCCAAGCCUAAAUACUCUCCUGUGACCGAUAGCGCACUAGUACCGCGAGGGAAAGGUGAAAAGCACCCCGGGAGGGGAGUGAAACAGCACCUGAAACCGCCUGCCCACAAGCAGUCGGAGCAUCGCCUUCGGGCGGUGUGACGGCGUGCCUUUUGUAGAAUGAGCCAGCGAGUUGCGGCGCGUGGCGAGGCCAAGCCACGAAGCGAGCCGUAGCGACAGCGAGUCCGAACAGGGCGCUAAGUCGCGCGCCGCAGACGCGAAGCCGGGUGAGCUAUCCAUGGGCAGGCUGAAGCGGGGGUAAGACCCCGUGGAGGGCCGAACCCACCUAGGUUGAAAACUGGGGGGAUGACCCGUGGAUAGGAGUGAAAGGCCUAUCAAACCCGGAGAUAUCUCGUUCUCCCCGAAAUAGCUUUAGGGCUAGCCUCGGGCGUUUACCAUGGGGGGUAGAGCACUGGACUGCCGCGGGGGCCUCACCGCCUACCAACGCAGACCAAACUCCGAAUACCCAUGGUCCACAGCCCGGGAGUCAGAACAUGUGGGCUAAGCUGUGUGUUCGAAAGGGAAACAGCCCAGACCGCCCGCUAAGGCCCCCAAGUCGAUGUUGAGUGGCAAAGGAUGUGCGUCCGCCCAGACAACCAGGAUGUUGGCUUAGAAGCAGCCACCCAUUCAAAGAGUGCGUAAUAGCUCACUGGUCGAGUGGACAUGCGCCGACAAUACACGGGGCUAAGCAUCGCGCCGAAGCGGCGGACCGGAACCAUGCGUUCCGGUGGUAGGGGAGCUUCCCGUGCGCGGGGAAGCCGGGGGACGACCCCCGGUGGAGCGCCCGGGAGUGAGAAUGCUGGCAUGAGUAACGAGAGCGGGGUGGAAAACCCCGCCGCCGUAAACCCAAGGUUUCCUGGGCGAGGCUAAUCCUCCCAGGGUCAGUCGGGGGCUAAGGCGAGGCCGGAAGGCGUAGCCGAUGCACAGCGGGCCGACAUUCCCGCACCCCCGGAAGGGCGCUAUAACCGAUGGGGCGACGCAGGAGGGUAGCUGGACGGGGUUCUGGACGUCCCCGCGAUGGCGCGUAGGGCGGCUCCCAGUGAAACGCGGGAGCCACGUGAGCCUGAGGCGCCGGACGAAGCCUUGUGGCGAAGCCAGUGAGCCCAUGCUGCCGAGAAAAACCCCUAGGGAGCCCGACGGGGCCCGUACCGCAAACCGACACAGGUGGGUGGGUAGAGAAUACCAAGGCGAUCGGGAGAACUAUGGUCAAGGAACUCGGCAAAAUCGCCCCGUAACCUCGGGAGAAGGGGCGCCGGCCUGGGUGGGGGGACACGCUCCCCGAGCCCGGUCCGGCCGCAGCGAAAAGGUCCAAGCGACUGUUUACCAAAAACACAGGACUCUGCUGAAGUCGUAAGACGACGUAUAGGGUCUGACGCCUGCCCGGUGCCGGAAGGUCACGAGGAGCCGUCAGCGCAAGCGAAGCGGCGAAUCCAAGCCCCGGUAAACGGCGGCCGUAACUAUAACGGUCCUAAGGUAGCGAAAUUCCUUGUCGGGUAAGUUCCGACCUGCACGAAAGGCGUAACGAUUUGGACGCUGUCUCGACCAUAGGCCCGGUGAAAUUGCACUAGUCGUGAAGAUGCGACUUACCCGCGGAAGGACGGAAAGACCCCGUGAACCUUUACUGCAGCUUGGCAUUGGCUGCCGGGGCGCCGUGUAGAGGAUAGGUGGGAGACUUCGAACCCGGGACGCCAGUCCCGGGGGAGUCGCCCUUGGAAUACCACCCUCGGCGCCUUGGCAUCCUAACCUGCGGCCGUUAUCCGGCGCAGGGACCGUGCCAGGUGGGUAGUUUGACUGGGGCGGUCGCCUCCUAAAAGGUAACGGAGGCGCACGUAAGGUCUGCUCGGGACGGUCGGCAACCGUCCUUGAGAGUGCAAGAGCGCAAGCAGGCUUGACUGCGAGACGGACAGGUCGAGCAGGUGGGAAACCAGGUUCUAGUGAUCCGGCGGCUCAGAGUGGUAUGGCCGUCGCUCAACGGAUAAAAGGUACUCCGGGGAUAACAGGCUGAUCUUCCCCAAGAGUCCACAUCGACGGGAAGGUUUGGCACCUCGAUGUCGGCUCAUCGCAUCCUGGGGCUGGAGCAGGUCCCAAGGGUAUGGCUGUUCGCCAUUCAAAGCGGUACGCGAGCUGGGUUCAGAACGUCGUGAGACAGUUCGGUCCCUAUCCUCCGUGGGCGCAGGAGAACUGAUGGAGGCUGCCCCUAGUACGAGAGGACCGGGGUGGACGGACCUCCGGUGCACGGGUUGUCGACCAACGGCACCGCCCGGUAGCUGAGUCCGGUUCGGAUAACCGCUGAAAGCAUCUAAGCGGGAAGCCGGUCCAGAGAUGAGUUCUCCCUUCGGUAAGGCCCCUCGUAGACCACGAGGUUGAUAGGCCGCAGGUGGAAGCCCCGCGAGGGGCGGAGCCGAGCGGUACUAAUCGGCCGAG